rnacentral:lncRNA from 11 species
CAAGAUCAUUCCCAUUGUGUCUGUCUGAUCCCUGCAUUAAGCCUAUCAAGGUGAAGCAUGUGAUCUGACCCAGGAAAAGAAGGUGUUGCCCCAAAGGAGAUUCAUCAGAGAAUCCAUCUGUUUCCAAUAAUGAAAGAAGAUCUGCGGGAACAUCAUAAUACUUCUGAUGAAGACGUUGAGAGAAC